GCGCGAAAACUUUACAAUGCUGGCAACAGCGAUAAGGGAACCUCGAGUGCCAGGUUACAAAUCUGGCUGUCGAGAUGCCUAAAAAGCAUUUCAUGGCAAGGGCCGGGCAAGACCGGUGCCAGCCGCCGCGGUAACACCGGCGGCUCGAGUGGUAACCGUUAUUAUUGGGUCUAAAGGGUCUGUAGCCGGCCGGAUAAGUCUCUUGAGAAAUCUGGCAGCUUAACUGUCAGGCUUUCAGGAGAUACUGUCUGGCUCGAGGCCGGGAGAGGUGAGAGGUACUUCAGGGGUAGGGGUGAAAUCUUGUAAUCCUUGAAGGACCACCAGUGGCGAAGGCGUCUCACCAGAACGGACCUGACGGCAAGGGACGAAAGCUAGGGGCACGAACCG
rnacentral:rRNA from 1 species